UAUUGGGCAAUGGACGCAAGUCUGACCCAGCAACGCCGCGUGAAGGAAGAAGGCUUUCGGGUUGUAAACUUCUUUUAAGGGGGAAGAGGAGAAGACGGUACCCCUUGAAUAAGCCACGGCUAACUACGUGCCAGCAGCCGCGGUAAUACGUAGGUGGCAAGCGUUGUCCGGAUUUACUGGGUGUAAAGGGCGUGCAGCCGGGCCGACAAGUCAGAUGUGAAAUCCGCGGGCUUAACCCGCGAACUGCAUUUGAAACUGUUUUUCUUGAGUACCGGAGAGGUCAUCGGAAUUCCUUGUGUAGCGGUGAAAUGCGUGGAUAUAAGGAAGAACACCAGUGGCGAAGGCGGAUGACUGGACGGCAACUGACGGUGAGGCGCGAAAGCGUGGGGAGCAAACAGG
rnacentral:rRNA from 1 species